UACAGAGGUCCCAAGCGUUGUUCGGAUUCAUUUGGGCGUAAAGGGUGCGUAGGUGGCGCCGUAAGUCAGGUGUGAAAUCUCGGGGCUUAACUCCGAAACUGCAUUUGAUACUGCGGUGCUUGAGGACUGGAGAGGAGACUGGAAUUUACGGUGUAGCAGUGAAAUGCGUAGAGAUCGUAAGGAAGACCAGUGGCGAAGGCGGGUCUCUGGACAGUUCCUGACGCUGAGGCACGAAGGUCAGGGGAGCAAACGGG
rnacentral:rRNA from 1 species